GGGUCAUAUCAGAAAGAUAUGUUUGAUGAAAUUAACUACAGAAUCAAGAAGUAUAUACUCAAAAAUGCAAAUACUACAAUAUAUAAGACAAUGCUGGAGUGCAAUGGUGCAAUCUUGGCUCACUGCAACCUCCGCCUCCUGGGUUCAAAUGAUUCUCCUGCCUCAGCCUCCCAAGUAGCUGGGACUACAGACCGCAACCAAUUGCUCUUCCUUCCCAUUGAAAGAAACCCAGGCUGUACCUGCUCUUUCAUCUCCUGUGUGGAAAACAUCUAUCGGCUGGAAGCCCUGAGUCUUCAUUUUCAAGGAUUUUAGUUGUAAGCUGUUUAAGGCAUAAGCUAAAGUUUCAGGCAGAGGUAAUUUUAGUAGUUAAGCCUGAUUUUUACUUCCACCCUCUGUCCUCCAGGGCUAUAUGGGAAGCUUUCUGUGAGUGGAUAAGCUCUUUAGCUAAGAUGUAAACAUGUUCCCUGCUAUCUGAUAAAGGUUCCUGGAGACUGACACUUUAAAAAAAAAAAAAAAAAGAAAGUGAGGAAAAAAAGAAAAGGAGAAACUGAAUCCAAGGCUUACAAAGGGAUUAGAAAACUGUACCCCAGAUGGAAAAUUUUAUGGGCUCUGGAGAAAAUGUGUAAGUGAAAUAUCGGUAUCAUAAAAUAACAGGAAAUAGUGUAAUCUACCUGAUGGAGAAAAUUGUCACUUUAAAAAAACUAUCCUAAUUUCCUUCAAAAUUGUUCUUGUUUUUGAGCCAAUAAACUUCAGCUAAGCUCA
rnacentral:lncRNA from 10 species